rnacentral:misc_RNA from 1 species
GAUGAAGAACGUAGCGAAAUGCGAUAAGUAAUGUGAAUUGCAGAAUUCAGUGAGUCAUCGAAUCUUUGAACGCACAUUGCGCCCUUUGGUAUUCCGAAGGGCAUGCCUGUUCGAGCGUCAUUAUCACCCCUCAAGCCCCUUGGCUUGGUGUUGGACGGCUGGCGAUGACCUCCGGGUCGUCGCCCCUCCCAAAGACAAUGACGGCGGCCUCGUUGGACCCCCGGUACACUGAGUUCUUCACGGGACACGUACUGGAUCAAGGGUGCGCGGAGCACGGUCUUAACCAUUUCACCCCUCGCGGGCGGAAUAAUUUUUCUAGGUUGACCUCGGAUCAGGUAGGGAUACCCGCUGAACUUAAGCAUAUCAAUAAGCGGAGGA